GCGGGACCACAUCCCCUUUCGGCAGUGCAAGCUUACCCACGCUCUGAAGGACUCAUUAGGGGGAAACUGCAAUAUGGUCCUCGUGACAAACAUCUAUGGAGAAGCUGCCCAGUUAGAAGAAACGGUAUGUAAAGACAGUCCAUGAAACCAGGUUGGAAUCCCCCUUCAUGGGUGCCAGGGCAGGGUAAGGCUCCAGGCUGGCUAACCUGGCACAGUGGCCAUAGACAUUGUCAAGAGUGGAAGGAUCCAGAGGUGAGUCUGAGCCACAGUUGCUGAGGGGGCCUAGAGCCAGGAUCCACACACCAAGCACUAAGCUGUGUGGAGGGCCAGCCAGCAGGCAGGCUCAGCAUGGGAGACUGUGUGAGGAGGGAGGCUGAGAGCCAGCUUUGUGAAGACAAGGACCAUGUUUCCUGGGGUGGUGCUCCUGGAAUUGGGAUCAAGAAGGAUCGUUGGUCACUUGUUCUUUAUAAUCACACAUGUUUAAACAUCUUGAAAACCCCACAGGGUUCCAGGCUGUGGUUAUAAGGCCAGUAUGAGCAGAUGGUAUUAAGCACCUGCCAUGUGCACCAUGGUAAGGAGGAGUAACCUGGUAGAAAUUAGUCUUAAAUGCCCUUGGGCCUCAGCAUCCUCAACCCAGAAAGAGAGAGAAGCCAUGGUCCUAAGUAACGUGAGGCCCAGAGGGAGGAGACCUUCAGAGGAGGCCAGGAUGGGGAUGAUGGGGAACUUUUCCUGAAGCUGGAGUAGGGAAAGAUGGGCACUGAGCUG
rnacentral:sRNA from 1 species